rnacentral:rRNA from 1 species
CAGUCGCCGCGGUAAUACGAAGGGGGCUAGCGUUGUUCGGAAUCACUGGGCGUAAAGCGCACGUAGGCGGAUACUUAAGUCAGGGGUGAAAUCCCGGGGCUCAACCUCGGAACUGCCUUUGAUACUGGGUAUCUUGAGUCCGGGAGAGGUUGGUGGAACUCCGAGCGUAGAGGUGAAAUUCGUAGAUAUUCGGAAGAACACCAGUGGCGAAGGCGGCCAACUGGCCCGGUACUGACGCUGAGGUGCGAAAGCGUGGGGAGCAAACAGGAUUAGAUACCCGCGUAGUCCCUGUCUCUUAUAC